UUUCUCUCUCUGUCUCUCUCUCCCUGUCUCUCUCUCUCUCCCUGUCUCUCUCCCUCUCUCUCUCUCUCUCUCUUCCUCCCCCUUCUCUCUCUCCGUCUCUCUCUCUCCCUCUCUCUCUCUUCCUCUCUCAAGCUUUCUGACAUUUGAGGAAAACAAAGAGCAGACUCCGAGCCUUAGCAACAUUCUGUUGGUGUCGGCCGUCCUCCAGGGCAACAGAUAUUAUGUUCCAUUGGGGUCAGAGUUCAGCGCUGGUUGCUAUGGGGGUGUAGGUGAGAAGCCACUUGUACCUUCUUACUAUUUAAUAGAGAUUAAACAAUUAUUUAUAGUGCAAACUGAACGUUUACAAUAGCACGAGGAGGACAGAAUGCUGUGGAGCAGAGGGAGCUUUUCAUGAGUGGCCAGAUUUGGAGGAAUCCUAGUGGACCGAGAAAAGAACAGAGUUCUGACAGGUGUAGCCAGGAAGGACCUUCUGCCUCUAGGCAGUCACGCAAGAUGGCUAUGGAAGCUUGUUCUUAGACACUGCUCUUUCCCAACAAGGAUUGGCCAUCAACUCUGACACUUUGUGAGAGGAAGUAAGGCCCAGAACUCACAUGUGCGAGCUUGGUGGCCAAGCUCCAAGAUGGGUCAGUUUCCUUCGUUCCCUUCUGCAUUACCUACCUACCUACAGUUCAAAGCCGGCACUCGGUGAGGAGCCAGCAUGCUGGUUGGUAGCCUAGAGAAGCCAGCCAUGACCCUCGCUAACCCAGGAGGCUACAACAGAGCUGGGCCUCCUAAGUUUCUACCAUCUCACACACUGAGAGCCGGCUGAGGUGGUGGGGGAGCACACGGCUAGCUAGGAGGUUUUCGCAUUGAGGAUGGGCAGGAUGCCAGAUGCACAGAGGAAGUCCAGGAGUAACAGAGGAGUGUGGUCCAGGGGGCUGCAGUUGAGACAUGGCUGGUGUUCUCUAGGACUGAGGAUGCUGAGUGGGUAGCACACUAUACGUGACCCCCAUCAUCGCUCUGUGUGUGUGUGUGUGUGUGUGUGUGUGUGUGUGUGUGUGUGUGUGUGUGUGUGCUUAAGGUCACUUUAGAAGUAACUCAGGAAGUUCUAUUCCCUUGGUAGUGGGACUGGGACCAUCUUUGGCCAUUCUCCAGAUGAGGGAAGCGGCUCACCAGAGAGUGAUUCACAGAACAGGUGACAAGUGUCCAUCUAUCUACCCUUGUUGGUGUUGUCCAGGGAGACACUGCCCCGAUGACUCUCUGCCCUUCAGCCAGUUCCCACUGGAAUCGCAAGCUCACGCUGCUGCUUACAGAGCAGUACUGGAAUGUUGGAUACUGCGUCCCGAUAGGUGCUCACACGGACCCCAGAGCUGAGCGGGUGUGGCGUGUUACUUCUCUACAAAGGACGACAGAGCUCAUCUGGGAGGAGAGGCCUCACAGGUCACGCUCUAACCGUCUCAGGACAGCAAGCUCUGAUAAAGUCUGUAUCGACGCUGGUUUUUCUACGCCCCUGUUAAUUACUCAGAAUAAGUAAGUGUAAAAAGCUUGUGUCAUUUCUUUAGGUUUGACCAUGGCAGUGUCCUCCAUAGAUGUAGAGCGACCAAGGAAUGUGAUGCCUUUGGAUACUACUCUGCCAUCCUUCCUGUUAGCUCUUCCCACCCUGGACCAGUUUAAAUAUCCUGUAACUUUUACUGUCAUCUUGAAUUAGUGUUUUCGCUUUUACACUUUCAUUCAUUUUUUUUUUUCUGAUGUUGAUCAUGACUUUGAAAUUACUCUGUGGUAGCCUAAGUUGAUAAUUCUUUGCUUAAAGAAUAGACUCUUUAAAGAGAGAGCAGUUUGGGGUUCCCAGGGAAACUGAAUGGAAAGUGUGUGGUGUUGCCAAACACCCGAAUCACCACCCUUGGAGUCUCCCCACCCCACCCAUUAGCUUUCUGUUUGAAGCCACAAUUUGUAGCCGCGGACAAACCUGUGUAGUCAUCACAUGGCACACAUGCUUUAUUGGUGGCGUUGCCAGUGCUUGGCCUUCUGUGGGUUUAGGCAUCGGUAUCAUGACAUGGGUGGACUGGUAGCCUGGCUGUCAUAGCACCAUCCAAGUACCUAUGCCUUUUCAUAGAGCAUCUUCACACGGCAACUUGGAGAAGCCUUUGCAGUUGGCUUCCUUCACUCACUGCUCCCCAUUCAUGAUCUUUCCCUAGUCUGACCUCUUUCCUUUUGAUGUCAUAAUGUUGCAAUGUUUGGACACAGCAUGGUUUCUUUCAUCCAUCUGUUACUGAAAACACUUUUGCUACUUCCCAGGUGGGCCAAUUGUAAGUUUGGUGCCGCAAACACUGGAGGCCAAGGUUUCGUGUGGACCCAACUUCUCUGUUGAGAAAAUGAUUGUUUACCUUUAAAAAAAAUGCAGUCUCCAUUUUGCCUUCUUUCCAGAAGUGACCAGAGUGCCUGCUGUGUCACAUGCUCACCAACGCUGGGUAGCCACGGUGCUCCAGAUUCUGGACACACCGACCAGCACAGAGUGGGAUCGCUUUGAUGAGGAAAGCGGGCACACGGGGCACCUCGCAUCCGACCAAGCCCAAAUGUAACAUCACUUGGAGAUGCAGGGGAAGACGCCCAUCCCACUCGCAGCAUGGGAGCAGUUCUCCCCAGGCCUGCACUGCUCCGUGACUCUACUCUGAGGAUGCUCUACCCACAGCUGCUGCACAGCAGAGCAGAGAAAGCGAAACAGCAAGGGCAGUUCCACUCUUUGCCCAGCAGGGGGAAGCCUCCAGCUCCCUUGCUGCUGUAUCCUCUCCAGAAUGUGCUAGUCCAGUGCCCCCUAGUGGUAACUCAUUUUAUUAAACAUCGAGUUGGUUACAGGAAGUAGAUUGAGCUCCGUGAAGAACAGUCUGUUUUGUAAGUAUUUUACAAUGUAGACAAAUUCUGACAUGGCAGGCCUUAGGUUCUCCGAAUGCCCUUCGGCGUCAUCUAACAAUCACACUAUCAUGUAGGCGAGGAAGCUGAAGUUUCUGGAGACUUGCUGUAGCCAUAGUGUGCUGUGUUGUGUUUUAAGAGAGCCAGGGUUGGAGGAAUUUCUAAGCUCUGUCUUGAAUUUUUUUCUUUUACUAUUCUGAUCCCAAGUUGACAGGAAUUUUCCAGAUGCCAAUGGGGUGCAAUGGCAUUGGGGUAGGGAGCCUUGCAGCUGCAAGCCUGUUAUCCCUUACCAGGGUUGCCUCUGGCUUUCUGAGCCUGGGUGCUAAGAGGCCAUGGGGUAGAGUAGAGAAAGAACUGGAUGGGUCUGCCCUCGGAUCCUAAUGCCACCGCCCCUCUAUCCACUCUGAGGCUGUUUGAGCUAUGCUCUUGACCCUAGAAAUACAGUGAUGAUUUAGAGACAGAAGAUAGUCUUGGUCAAGAUCCCUAAUCUUUCCCCAAGUUUAAAAUGGGGGUGUGCACACAAUUGAAUACUCUUGAGAGGAAACAGAAUUAUCUGGUGUGCUAAGAGAAGAACAGAGCAGGACAGAACCAAAUGGAGGCGAUGUUGGUUCAGUGCACUGCUAGCUGGUCAGCUGAGCUGUCUGUGGGUCCAGCAUCCUUGGAACCUUCCUUGGGCCAGUUAUCUGCAGACAAAAGGAUGCAUGCGUCCUCAUGUCUUUUAAUUAGACAAGCUGUAAAUUAUGUAACAUCAAAAGAAUGAGCUGGUCUUCACCUGAUUCAAGCUCUGGAGAUUUACUGGAGUCUCCAGCAGCAGUCAUGGUUUAAAACUGUAGAACUGGGGGUAGGGGUGGGGUCAGGCAUCUGAGAGACCCCCAUAUAGGCAGUGAAAACAUUUGGUCUCUUCCUAACAGAAGACUGCUGUUUGGAUAUUUGCUAUGAUAUCACAGAAGGAAUGCAUUCAGAAUGAGUGAUAACGGGGCUCUGUCUGUUAGUAUCAGUUUGCUACACAAGUGAUAUAUACAUAUAUAUUAUUAUAAUUAUAUAAAUAUAAUAUAUUUACUUAUAAUUUACAGUUUCUUUUCAACAAACUUUUUAAUCUAUCAUCUAUGUAUCUGUCUAUGUAUCUAUCUAUUAUCUAUGUAUCUAUCUAUGUAUCUAGUAUCUAUGUAUGUAUCUAUCUGUCUGUCUGUCUGUCUAUCAUAUAUCUAUCAACAUCAUCUAUAGAGAGAAUGGAAGUCCUGGCUUAGAAAACAUACAAAUUACUGAACAUUAGGACACCAGAUGAGGGUGAAGAUUUUCUGACAUUUGACAAAUAAAAAGAAAGAAAGAAAGAAAGAGAGAGAGAGAGAAAGAAAGAAAGAAAGGAAGAGAGAGAGAGAGAGAAAGAAAGAAAGAAAGAAAGAAAGAAAGAAAGAAAGAAAGAAAGAGAAAUGUAUGUUUUGUCCAAAGUUAUUCUCGGAUUUAUUCACUCGUCAAAUAUUCGCUGUGUGCCUCUUAUGGACUGCUCACUGUCCGUGAUGGGGUUACAGUAAAAAGGACGCAGCCCCUGUUUUCCUAGAUGCUGGAGGAAAGAGGAUUUCCAGUCAGAUGAGCACACCGUCAUGUUAGGAGAUCGUGAGGCAGGAAAGACUGAGAGCUGGAGAGGGAAGCACUCUCUGGACAGGAGGCUGAGCAGAGAUGAUAUUUGGGUGAGAGGAGGAGGCAAAGGCCCUGCGGUUGAUUGACGCUUAAAGGUCAAGGAGGUCAGAACCUGCAGCUGCAGAGCAAGCAGCAGGGACCCACAGAUCUGAGAGCAGCAGGGGGAAGGAGCAGGGGCCGAUGGGCACGGUCAGUUUGAGAAACUUGAACAGAGGAUAGAUAGCAUCUGGUUUAUGCUCUAAAAGAUGGUGAGUGAGCCAAAUUUGGCCCAGACACUGGGUCCCUUUAAGGUAGAGCCUAUCGGUCCCCCAUCCCCCAAAGAUCAAAGGUCAACAUGAUAUCAAGAACAAAUCUGGGGGAGCUUGGUAAAUCUAUGUAUUUUACGUAUUUCCAAGACUUUCAACUUGAGUACAGUAGACACCAAACGAUAGACAUCUUGUUCACAUUUUUUCCUCUCCUUAUCCCUUUGAAGGAGAAAGAGGAACUUUAGAUCUUUUAACAUCUCUAACAUCUCUCCCCAACCUCGCUCUCUUGGGUUGUGUGGAUCACUAAACUACUUGGAGUUUAAAUGUGCCCGGAAAGAGCUUGCCCGGGAGGAAGCCUCCAUUCUCAAACCCCACGCUUUCUGUUCCUUCCCUGUCAACCUGUGUUCGCUUCCAGCCACUGAUGAUCAAUUUGCUCUUUCCUUCAUGUGAUUCAACCAAACAGGUGUUUAAGUGGUUUUAAAAUGGGCACGGUUUAGAAGGAAGCCACACUUAUAAAGGAAGCCGGACAGAGUUCCCGAAUGUGAGAUGGCCUCCUUUUCAGUUCUUCCACUUAACGAUGAAAACACAAAACAAAAGCAAUCAAACAAACAAACACACCACCACCACCACCACUAACAACAACAAGAAGACCCAUGGCUCAUGAGAGACGUGAUGGCAGAAUGAUAUCUUUUCCAGCAUCAUAAAAAAGGAGGCGCAGUAAAGGUAAGUGCUGGCAAAUCGUACAAACCAGAACUGGAGCAGCAGGAGAUGAGAGAGAAGGCUGUGUUUCAUUAGCAGUGAUGGGAGGGAGGAGGCCGGGGCUUGAGUCACUGCAGAGCACACAGUAGGUCAUGCUCUUCACUCGAGCAGAUUCAUGGUUUGACCCUAGCAAGAAAACUACCCUACAUUCCUGGACAGUGCUGCAGCGUAGUGGAAACUGUGUGCCUCCUUUUUAAUGUUGUGAGAAAGGCUGGGCGGUGUCUCCAGUGUGCUAGUGGCAAACAUGGACCCAGAGAGACCCUCGCAGUUUGUUACCCCCCCAUCUUGGCUUGCAGCAGAAGUUAUCCAGGGAGGCAUAUGGGCUCUCGGACUCUUUAAAGCCAUUUUACCUUGAGGGUUUCCGAUUUUCUAGCAUUUGGAAGGAAGAUGGAAAAGGGAAUCUGAGCGAAGUUCGUGACGUCUCUGAGUAGCUGAACUGUGAAGAAAUAAGGACACGUUGAGAAUGUGUAGUAAACGUAGUAAUUGACAUGUGAAGUUGGCCAGUGGAGGGAGGACUGAGGCCCCAGGGUAGGUUCAUAACCAGCUUACCAACCUACAUUUCUACACUAGGAAUGAGCAUGCACCUUUAUUUAAGAAGGAAACAUACCCCAAAUCAGUCUCCUGUAGGGAGACACUUCUUUUCUUAUUUUUAUUUUUAGAGAAAGGGGCUCUCUGUAUAGUCCUGGCAUCCUGAAACUUUCUAUGUAGACCAGGCUGGCCUUGAACUCCUAGAGACCUUCCUACCUCUGCUUCCAUUGUUCUGGGACUAAGGGCAUGUGCCAUCACACCUGGAUUGAGAUCAGUUCUUUUCUGUCCUCUUUGUAUCAUCAUUUUCACUAGGUACAUUGUUGUCGUUCGAAUGUCAAGUGUCCUUCACUGGUUCUUGUGCUUGAACACUUGGUCCCUAUCAGAUUUUUGUUUGAAAGAAAGAAAGAAAAAAAGGAAGAAAGGUUGUGAAGCCAUUUGGAGGUAGAGGUUUGCUGGAGAAAGUGGCCACCAUGAAGGGCCUUGAGGGUUUAUAGUCUGUUCCCACUUCCUGUCUACUCUCUGUUUCCUGACUGUGGCCCGCCCCCUCCUGCAGACAGUGUUCCCUACUUGGUAGACUGUAUCCUUUGGAACUGAAAGUCACAAUAAGCCUUCCUCUACUGGUUUUUGUCAGUUCUUUGGUCACAGCAAUAAGGACACAAGUGUAUGUGGAUACCUUUUGUGAAAAGCCUGGAAAAUCUCACAAAGUCACCACUGUGCUGUUGAGAGAAAGGCUCCCUUGUGGCUGCAACCCUGAAGAUUUGUCAGGAUGAAGGAUGAACAAAAGAAAUCUGGUGAGGAGCAAUCGUAGUAAAGUUAAGCUGGAGAAAGAGAAAACCUGCAGAUUGGAGGAACUUUGUUGGUAACUUACGCCCAGAACACGACAGAGUCUUGACAAAAUUCAUGAGAUGGUAUAAGGGAAUCAUGACAGGGGUCCAGAGAGGGACAAGUGAAGAUAAUGGGACCGAAGUGUGUUAUACGCGUGUGAAAAUAUGUUACACACUUGUGAUAAUAUUUUACACAUGUGUGUGAAAAUGUCACACCCAUGUGAAAAUAUGUUGCACACCUGUGAGAAAAUGAUACACAUGUGCAAAAAUAUGUUACACAUGUGAAAAUAUGUUACACGUGUGUGAGAAACUAUGUUACACAUGUGUGAAAAUAUGUUACAUGUGUGUGUGAAAAUAUGCUACUCACCUGUGAGAAAAUGAUGUCGCCCACAUCAGUUAUGUUAUAUAAUCAAUACUGUAUAAUACAAAGAAACACUAAGGAAAGGCAGUCACAAAGCAGGCAGGGGCAGACAGGAAGGAGAACAGGAGAGAAUGUUAGAAGCCGUGAGACUCAGCUUUUCUUAUUAAAUAGGGAGGAGGCUAAGAUAGUCACAAGCUGGAAAUGUUUUAUUUGUUUUAUAUUAUUUUAUUUUAUUCUAGUGUGUGGCUAUCUCCUGCAUGUAAGUCUGUGUGCCAUGUGUAUAUAGUGACCACAGAGGCCAGAAGAGGGUGUCAGAGUUGAAUCACAUAUGGUUGUUAUCGUAUGUGGGUGCCAGGAACUGACCUCAGGUCAUUUGCUAGAGCAUUAAGUGCUCUCAACCACUGAGCCUUCUCUCCAGCCCUGAAAGAUGAAAUUGUUUAUUUAAAAGCGCGCGCGCGCACACACACACACACACACACACACACACACACGUUAUCCCCAGCUUAUCAUUCAUGUACAGCAGUUUUGACACUCACAGGUGGGAUGCAGGAGUUUCUGUAGUUUUAUUUCUAUAUCAUUACCAUAUAACUUUUGAUAACUGUGUAGUAAAUAUUUUGGAGAAAUAAGAUUUUAUAACUCAAUUGCUUCAUUACUUAAAAUUCCAGAUGAUUGGGGGUGGAUGUAAUAGGGUCUCAGAAUGUAGCCCUGGCUGUCUCGGAACUUACUAUGUACACCAGACUGGCCUUGAACUCCCAGAGAUCUGCCUGCCUCUGCCUCCUGAGUGCUGGGAUUAAUAUAGCUGGCCCAAAUAUAAUUUGUAAAUUUUGUUUUGUUUCUUUAAGACAGGGUUUCUCUGUGUACCCCUUGGCAGUCCAGGAACUCACUCUGUAGACCAGGCUGGCUCAAACUCAUAGAGACCCUGCCUGCUUCUGCUUCCCAAGUGCUGGGAUUAAAGGCAUGUGCCACCACAGCUCAGCACUAAUUUAUAAUAAUUUUAAAAUCAACUAAAAAAAAUCAUAGGAAGCUGAGUGGGAUGUCUUUACAAUUUUUAAAGAUUCCUUCACCUUAUUGUAUGUGUAUGAGCCUUUUGGGCACGUGUAUAUGUGCACAGGAUAUGCACACUGUCUGUGGAGGUCAGAGGAGGGCAUCACAUCCCCUGAGACUAGCGUUAUAUGGAUGCCGGGAAUGGAACUCAGAUCCUUUGCAAGAACAAGGGCCCUUACACUGGGCCACCUCAGCUCACAAAGACCUAUUCGUAUUAUUUUUAGUCAUGUGUGUGCAUGCAUGUCUGUGUGUAGGAUGUGCAUGUUUGUAGGUGGAUGUUCCCGGAGUCCAGACAUGUGAAUCUCCAGGAGCUGUUGUUACAGUAGUUGUAAAUCAUCUGAUGUUUAUGCUAGGAACUAAGCUCAAGUCCUCUGCAAGGGCGGUGUGAGUUCUUACUGUGGACCUAGAUCUGCGGCCCUUGCUACUUUUAAUCUGAUGGACUGACAACACAACACAGCAGCAUCCCGUCAAGUUCAAUUAGACUUUCUGACAAUUACUUUUCCUACUUAACAUCCUUUGGUUAAGUUUUGAGAAUUGCCUUUAAAAAACGUUUAGCUUGUUUAACUUGCUACAAAGGUUACAUCACAUGUCUAUUGUGAUAAUUAUAUACAUUAUAUCUUCCGAGUUUUGUUGCCCUGCACAGCAGCAUGUAUUGUAUGGGUACCUUAUGAAUUCCUGCUAGAGUUUUUAGCUAAUUUCCGCAGUUUAUGGUCCCCUUUAAAUAACCACAGUUCGGUCUCUGUUCUGCCCACCGGCCACAGCUUCUUACCUGCAGAUCAGCUGGAAAAUGCAAAGCUAUAGAGUCUACAAAUUCUGCGAACGAACAUGGUGGGGUUGAGGCUGUUUGCGAUCUUAGUGGUUAUACGUUAUGUAACUACCCAUGGACUUUAAUGUAGAAAUAUUGGUUAUGGAAUGUUGCUCAAGUGUCUGUUAUCACAUAGUAUAUAGUAAGCUAACUUUAUCUAAAAUCUAAAAACUUCCAGACGGGAAAACACCCAUCUCUAGAGUCAAAUUAAGAAUGUUGACUAUUGGGGCUGGGGAUUUAGCUCAGUGGUAGAGCGCUUACCUAGGAAGCGCAAGGCCCUGGGUUCGGUCCCCAGCUCCGGAAAAAAAAAGAACCAAAAAAAAAAAAAAAAAAAAGAAUGUUGACUAUGCACAACAGUUUCCGCCUUUCUUUAGUCAGAUAGAAUUUUCCAGUGUUGAAUAAGUGGUAUCUUGUGGGGUUUUUUUAAAAUGGAAAUAUAAUGGCCAAGUGUCUUGCAACUGGAUAUAUAUUGAUGGUGAGAAUCAAGAUUCCCCAUCAGGACAAAGAGCGUCACUUUUCUAAAACUAGUUUGCAAACAGAAAGAGACUUCUCUUUCAUAUGUUGAGGAUGUCACCUUCAUCCCCUCUAAGGAAGGAAGAGGGGUUGUUGUCGUGGUCACCAUCUGUGAACAAGACUUCUCAAGUUAUUUUCUGUUAAUAAAUUGCUUUGUGUAAGAUUAGAAAAAAAAAAAAGAAUGCCCAACGUCACACAUACAGGACCAAAAAGUCAUCAUUGUCCCCAAAGCCAGUUAGUUACUCACUACCUACGUUUCUAAUACUUAUAGGUUACUUUGUUUGUGUUUUGAGUAUUUUAAAAUAUUUAAUAAAUUUUAAACACAACGUUUUAAAUAAGUAAGAGCAGCAUAUAUUUGUAAUUUUAAAUAUGUGAGGCGCACACACACACACUCACACACACACUCACACACACACUCACACACACACUCACACACACAUACACACACUCACACACAGACACACAUACUCACACACUCACACAUACUCACACACUCACACACACACUCACUUGCACACACUCACACACAGACACACUACACACACUCACACAUACACGUGCUUUUUGAUGGUGCCCUUGCCUCCAUGUGUAUUAGCACAUCAGGAUUUUUCAUCCUCUAUUAGUAGUGUUAAGUGGAGUGACCAGAGCCCCACUCACGCUAUUACUGACGGACAUAUCCUUUCCAGCCUCAUGAUUCCCCAUCAAAGGGAAAAGUAUUUUAUUGCCUUUUUUGAGAACCAGCUCAUGAUUUUGUUAGUGUAAUGAUUAUUUAGCCUUCUGGUUUGUGCUGGCUACUCAAGAUCUUUUAUCUCUGUUAAGUCCUUUUACUUCCUUCCCCGUUACACACCCACUUAAGUUGGAGACAUGGUCCGUUUCUGUUUACUUGGUGAAGAUGUGUUCGGGGUCUCAGCCAGAUAAAGUCUGAAGCUGUCAGGGAGUAAAGCCAGCACCCUUGGCUCCUUGAACAUAAUGCAAUUCCUUUCACAUAGUAGCGCGUGGUGCCAUUAAGGGUUUACAUCCUUGGUUUCUCUGUGUUCUGACAACACUGUGGACCAUGAGUGACGAUCAAGCCAACUAGAGUUUAGGAGCAGCUCUUCAGAGAAGGAUUCAUGUCAGAGGUGCUGGGAUGGGGCAUGGCCUGGAAAUCAACUCUUUCAAGACGAGUCUUACCCUAUCUUCUAAUUAUAAUAAAAAACAUUAGAAAUGAGCACAUUUUUAACUAGACAGAAGUAAUAGAUCUUGCACAUUUCUGAGUUCUCAUAAGUUGAACCUCACCACUGACCUAAUUAUUCUUUUCCAUACUAAUGCAGUGUUCACAUACUUCCCCAUAGCCCAACUGUAUAUUCUACAGAAAUCCUUUAAAGAGCUGGCCUUCCAUCAUGAGAAUGCCCCUGCCUCUCACCAGCUGCAGCACUCGGAGGAGCAGUCCUUGCCUGAGCAGCACAGCAGAACAGAGCUAUGGCAGAGGGGGCACAGGUAAACAUUUAAGCACGGGGAUCUAUGUGAGGAAUGGAAAAGAGCAUCAUGCUGGGGUUUGGAGAUCUGGGCUCUUUUUGUUGUCCGCACAUCAGCCACCGUGUGAUUUUAUAUACUUCGAAUUUCUGGCUAUCAGUCCAUUCAUCUGUAUGAUCUGCGGGCUAACCCACGUCAUCACUUUCUAAUAGCUCACUUCGAUGGAUGUACACUAAUAUGCAGUAACUUAAAUUUAUUUGGGGAUUGGAUCAACUUUUUGUGUGUGGAGCAUCUCGCAAGGCUGGCGUGGUGCGGUGCAUGCUGGGAAACACUGCCUUACGUCAUCCCUCAGAAGCCCCUCGGAGCGCCGAUCUGCCUGCUGAGCCUGCGAGCAGUGCAACCUCAAGAGCAUUUCAUAACCUUGCUGCGCUUCAGUUCCGUGUUCACAAAACAAGGGUGAGUUGAAAAACUAUUUCAUUGGUCCGCUCCUCUAGAGGUGGCUGGAACCUACUGUCCCAGUAGUCAUGGAUAUGAAACAGAGAUGCCGCUGCGUAGAGUGGAAGCCAGCCUGGUCACGUGGAGAGGACUGACGGGGAACCCGUGUGAGCACCUGAGAGGUUGAACAAGAAGCCAGAAGAGAAAACUGAUCAGGAGCUGCCAAUUUUUUCCCUCUACUAGGACUGGUCCCUGUGAUACACACAGUGUGCGGAACACUCAGAUCCUGUACAGCAAUAUUAGAUUUGCUCAGAACUCCAGUUACAGCCUGUCACUGCAGAGAAGUCGAGGCAAAGCUUAAUGAUGUCAACUAGUCAAGAACUGAGAGAGAAAGUCAGGUGCGGUGGCACACGCCUUUAAUCCCAGAACUCAGGAGACAGAAGCAGGCCCAUCUCUGGGAGCUUGGGGCCAUCUUGAUCUACACAGUGAGUUCUAGGACAUAUAGAGGUAAUAGUGAGACCCUGUCCAAAAACCAAAACCAAAUGAACAUCCCAAAGCCGCAGAGAGUGAAGGCUUGCAAACUCAUCUCUCAACGAAUUUUCUCUACUCUUACACGUGGCAGGACCCCAACCCAGGGAGCAAUGCUGUCCUCAGUGGGAAAGUCUUCUCAUCUCAACUCCCAAGUUGAUCGUAAUCUCUUCGUAGAAAGCCUCCGUGUUCUCGUUUACUUCAAAUCCCUUCUUGGGUGUAAUUGGGAUCAUGAUUGACUUCGCCCACUGAAAGCAUUCAAUUAUAUGCUUGCUGAAGGAUUGGGGAAGAUCGUGUGGUUACUUCAACCCAAGCUCAGAAGGCAGCCGUCCUCAACGUAACUGCUGAGAAGCUAUUUGCCCUAUAAAGGAAUUCUAUAGGACAAAAAUGGCAUUCCCAAAUCGGAGAAAGACAUCUGAGUCCUCAGAAAGAAAACAACUUCUUCUUAGCACCGCAUUCAGAAAUAAAUUUCUGGUAAGUAUCUUAAUAGUUUAGGUACACCUAAAAGUUUAAAACACAAGGAUUUGAUGUCCUUGGGCAUGGAGGAAAAAGAGAGGAUAGAGUAGAAUAGGAUGCUCUUGUGUGAAAAAGACAUAACAGGAAAAGCUACAGGAAUCAAGGAAGGCUUGAAGAAAAUGUUCGUGAUAUGCAUAUGAUUACCAUUAGACACAUUUAAAUCACUAAUAUAUAAGAACCAAGUCGCUGAGGGUGUGAAAUGGCACUGCCACUGUAGAAAAUGGGGCGGGGACUGCUCAAGACAUUAACAUCAAACUUGCCAUGUGACCCAGGAGUCCCACUUCUAGGCAUGUAAGCAAGAGAAGGACAAGAGGUUCUUAAACACUCGACACCUGCGACCCACGGCAAUCGGGGCAUUCCUAAGUUGACUGCUUCUGGGGCACUGAAGGAAGCACAAGUGAAGACAGCACAACGCACACAUGCAGGACGCCGUUCAACCUUAAGGAAGGAAGUCUAAGCCCAGACUAAGGAUCCAGGUCCACCAUCCCAGCUGCUAGCAAGCUGAAGCAGGAGGAUCUCAAGUUCAAGACCUGCCUGCUUGACUCUUCACCCCCAAGAUGUGUUUCCCCUGACUCCCAUCUUCCCGGAGGUGAGCUCUUCUGCAUCGAAAUCUCUGAAGUGAUUAGUCAAAAUGAAUUUUCCCGGCUUUACAUGAUCUAUGUCUGUAUUUUGUCAAAGAAGCUAGCUGUGGUGCUGGAGGGAUGGCUUAGCAGUUAAGAACACGCACUGCUCUUCCAGGAUACAAGUUCCAGUCCCGGUACCCACACUACCUGGAAUUCCAGCUCUUGGGGAUCUCGAGUCCUCUUCUGGCCUUCAGGAGUGCUGCACUCAUGUGACAUACACUCACGCACAUACACACACCUAUUAAUAAAGUAAUAAAAACAAACCUUUAAAAAUAACCCUUAGCUAGCACAAGUGGCGUUCUGUUCAGUGUUCGUGAGGUCUCACAUCGAUUUUGUUCUAUACUGCAUGUGAGAACGCACUGUAAAAGGCUAAAGACCUACAUGGGAGGUAUUUAUAUCGAAACUAAGAAUGAGAAGUAGUCUAACCUGCUUUAAAAAAAAAACACAGUCAACUACUUUAAUAAAAUAAACUUUGAAAGCCUGCACAGAACAGAAUGUGCCCCGCCCUGGGUGGCUCUAUCUUGGAAACCUGGUUGGAGCCAAACAGGACUGAAGAAAUGACAGGCACGUGAGGACACACACAGAGAGGCUGGGCUUGGGUGGACUGCGCUUGCUCCGACAGAGGGCGCUGCUUCCGCACUAGGUAACUCAGGAAGUUCAUCUUCUACAGCUCAAGCAGGAAGGGUUAGAUAGUCUUGGUAGGAUGUCUCUGGAGGCGCCAGAGGAAGGCUUUGCCAAUUUCCAGAGGCUGACCUGGAAAAGUCUUUUCUAUUCUCCUGAGUCGGAGGCAUGGGAUGUGUCCUUGACUUGGCUCUGCCCACAUCUACAAUACAUGUUCUGUCAGGAUUUCAUCCGCUCCCCGCUCCCCGCUCCCCACAAGAAUGACUCUUCAUGCCACUCACAUGAGUUGGGUUUCAUUACUGUGACUAGAAAAACCAGAAGCAGUCAACUUAGAAUUACGGAAAACUAAUUUUGGCGCACAACCUUGGCAGUUUGGAGCUCUGAUCAGUUGGUCCCUUCCCUAUGUACCUGUGGCGAGAUGAUGCAUCGUGGCGGGACUGUGUGACCGAGAAAGAGGCUUACUUCGUGGCAUCUCAGAAGUGAAAAAGAAAGAAGCGGGGAAGGGGCUAAGGUCCCAUAUCCUCUUCGAGGGCAUACAUACUGCGGUGGUUUAAAUAUGCUUGGCCCAUGGGAAGUGGCACUAUUAGGAGGUGUGGCCUUGUUGGAGUGGGUGUGGCUUUGUUGGAGUGGGUGUGGCCUUGUUGGAGUGGGUGCGGCCUUGUUGGAGGAAGUGUGUCACUGGGUAGGCCGACUUUGAGGGCUCCUCGGCUCAAGCUCCACCCAGUGUGGAAGAGACACACCUCCUCCCCGCCUCCUGGCUUCCUGCAGAAGACAGUCUCCUCAUGGCUACCUUCAGAUCAAGAUGUAGAAUUCUCGGCUGUUCCAGCACCAUGUCUGCCUGCAUGCUGCCAUGCUUCCCGCCAUGAUGAUGAUGAAUUGAACCUCUGAAACGGCAAGCCAGUCGCAGUUAAAUGUUUUCCUUUAUAAGAGUUACCUUGGUCAUGGUGUCUGUUCACAACAAUAAAACCCUAACUAAGGCACAUACCCUUAGUGACUUAGCUUCCUCUCACUCAAAGAUGCCACGUCUCCCAAUAGUGCUAUGGGAUGGGACCAUGCCUGCAGCAUGUGGAUCUUUGGGGACACCUCUCAGAACUACAGCACUGGUGCUCUGAGUAAACGCCUCCUCAGUCCAUGUGAGCACGUCUGUGGUGCUGCUGCCUUUGUCCAGGUCGUGUUGAGGUUCUGGAUGUACAAACCUAGACUAUCCAUAUUUGAUUCAUUUUUAUCACUCCAUGCUCUCGUUCCAAGUCUCUGCAAUGCCUAGGUGCACCCCACGUAUUUUGAUGUUUUAAGACUUCCUUCAGACCUAUAUAUUAUUUCUUUUCCUUCUUUGAUACACGUUCUGUUCUCUGCAGAUCUGGAUGUGUGUUGUUUAAUUUCCACGUGUUUAGAGAUUUCUCCACCGCUUUUCUGUUGGUUUCUAAUUAAUUCCAUGGCAGCCAGAAAACACGCCGUGUGCGAUUGCGCUCUUUUGAACUCUGUGUCCACCUUAGCGAUGUUCCGGGAGUAUUUCCUGCUGUUGACAGUAACAUGUUCUAUACCUACCGACUAGGAUAUGUUGGUUGAUUGUUUUUCUCUUAUCUUCUGGGGGUUUUUUCCUCCUCUUUUUUGCCCAUGCACAUGUGUGCACAGAGCUAUGUGUUCACCUCUGUGGGCACACGUGUGUGCAGAGGCCGAUGGUUGACAUCAGGUGUCUUCUUCAGUCUUUCUUGACUUUAUUCAUUGAUGCUGGCUUUCUCGAUUGAAUCCAGAGCUGGCUGACUUGGCUGGUCUAGCUAGUUAGCUUGCCCUUGGUAACCCUCAUCUGAGCCUUCUCAGGCCUGGAAUUACAGGUGGCCUCCUGGCAUUUAUGUGAAUGUUGGGAUUUGAACUUGGGUCCCCGCACUUGCACAGUAAGUACUUUGCACACUCUGAUGACUUAGUCAUCGCGGUUCUAUCAGCUUUUGAGAGGUCCUCAUUUGUAAUUGUGGGUUUGCUUAUUUUUCUUUUAUCUCUGUCAAGUUUUGCAUGAAGGGUCUUGAGUUUCGUUUUGUUUUUAAGAUUAUUUUAUUUAUAUGAGCACACUGUAGCUGUCUUCAGACACACCAGAAGAGGGCAUCUAAUCCCAAUACAGAUGGCUGUGAGCCACCAUGUGGUUGCUGGGAUUUGAACUCAGGACCUCUGGAAGAGCAGUCAGUGCUCUUAACUGCUGAGCCACCUCUCCAGCCCGGGUCUUGAGUUCUGUUGUUGGGCUAGGCUAUGCUAAGCUCUACUUGGAUGGUCUUCUCUGUCUGCCGACGUGAUUUUUUUUUUGUCAUUAUACACACAAUAGAGGCUAAAGGAUAUGCCUUGCUCUCCUGUCACCUAAUUAACACAGAUGUUCCUUUUUCUAUCAUUAAUUUUUAUAUCUAUAUCUUUUUAUUAACCUCGUUAUAGUUAAUUUUUAUGUGUAUAUCUUUGUUUGAACCUCGUUCUUCCCAUCUACCCAGGUCAUUGAAUUUGAAGUCAGUUUCUUACAAAUAGAACAUAUUAUGAGGUUGUAGGCUGUUUGUGCUUUUCCAAUCACUAUUGAUUGGAGCAUUUAACUCAUGCUUGUCAAUAAAGUAGCCAUUAAUGUGUCAGUGCCAUAGCCUUCUAUUUUAUUAUCCAUUCCAUUAGUUUUUUCCCCUUUUGUUUUCUUGGAUUCUAGUGGGUUAUCUAAAUAUAUUUUUGUAAUCCCCUAAAUUUAUUUAUUUAUGUUGUUGAAUAUGUCUUUGUCUUGCUGCUAUAAAGUGGUGGUCCUAUACGAUGUGUUUAGGUGCAUUUUUAUGUCUAAGUUUGUGAUUUAAUACAGUCUACUGCUAUCAACGUCGUCCAAAUUGGAUGUAAUAUAGACCAUCCCUUCUAGUUCACACCUUUACCUUCACUAUUAAAAACUCUUUGAUAUCAGAUGAUGAUUUGCUUUUAAUAAAAAUAUAUUUAUGACCAGAUGUGGUCAUGCUUCCCUUUAUCCUAGAACUGAGGCGACAGAGUGGAUCUCUGUGAGUUUGAAGCCAGCCUGGUCUACACUGUGAGUUGCGGAGCAACCACAACUACACAAUAAGACCCUUUCUCAAAAAUAUGUAUUUAUAGAGUUCAUAGAGGGGAAGAAAGCGAUACUCUAUUGUAGUCACCUGUAUUUCUUGUUUUUAUUUUUUUCUUCUUCCCUGAAUUCUAACAUUUGUUCUUUUAUCAUUGACUUUCUGAUUAAAGAACCUCUUUUUCAAUUUUAAAUUUUUAUUAUUCUUAGAGUUAAUAAUUUGAGAAGGUCUGCGACAAGUCCCCUUUGUUUCUCUUUUGGGGGAGUGUAGCUAUUUUAAUUUGCUGCCUGAGAUACUUUUGCUGGGUAUAGAAGUCACAUGCCAAUUCUCUUUCAUUCGUUGAAGAAACUAGUGUACCUCUUUCCGAUCUCCACAAGGAAUCCUUAGACUUUUGUGCUAGUGUUUCCUUAUAGUUAGUGUGUUAUUUCGCCUCAACAUGUUUUCAAGAUUUUUUUUCUUGACGUUAGUUUUCAAAGACUACACGAUUAACUUAGCAUAAAAUUUUAGGAGGUUUAUACUAUUUGGAAUUUACUCAGCCUAAUGAACAUAUAUGAUUUGGCUUCAAGCUCCUUCUGAAAAUGUAAUAACAGAAAUGUUGAAAUUAUUUUUGACAUUUGUCCCACAGCAACACAGACAUUGUAUUUGGGGGAAUUUAUCUUUUGUUUUCACCGUCUUUCUUCCUACUGUUAAUAUACUAAAUUCACUUGAGUUCAUUGAUUUUUGUCUUUGUCUCCACCUACCGUUAGCACAUCCAGUGAACUUCAUUUUCUGCUGCUAUGUUUUUCAACACUACAUUUUAUAUGGGUUUGUUUCUUUAAAGCCAUUUUCAUUUUUGGAAUAUCUUAGUUUUUCAAAGCAAUUUACGAUUUAUUAUUAAAUUUUUAAGAUGGCUACCUUAAACUUCUUUUUAUUUGUUUUAGUGUUAGCAUUAGUUAGCUUUUUCUCACUCAAAUUGUGGUUUUAUGGGUUCUUAGUGAACAGGAGAUUUCCAGUCAUGUACAAGACAUUCUAUAUCACAUGUUUAUUUCAGUUCUCUGUUGGAGCACAUAGCUUAGGGCUUAUCUUGUGAUAGCAGUACUAAUUGCAAUUUAAUUUCAAGAUUUUUGUUGUAUUGUUGUCUUUGUUUGGUUUUCAUGAGUCUAUCCUGACCACUGAUUCUUUCUAAUGACUUUUGGGACACGAAAAUGUUUUCCCCAAGCCAGGUUGUGGGUAUUUGCUGCUUUAAGGAAUACAAACAUUUUGCUAUCUGGGAGCGUGGUGUGAAAUGAUCCCCCAGCAAGUGACAAGACAGACAAGUGACUGACAAGACAGAGGUGUCCCAGGCAAUAGAUCUCUGCACAGUUCAUUGUGGCUGAACCCCUGCUGUCCCAGAGGCUUAGUGGAAGAGGCUCCGACCACAGGAGCUCGCUUCUCUGGCAGCACGUGAAGGUGCAGAGGUGUCUUCCCACACCAAGCUGCAAUGAUCUAAUUACUGAAAGUGGACUUUUGGAAGAUCAGACCGAGCCUUAAAUUUAAAACCCCUGUAUAUAUGUAAAAGGAAAACAUAAAUACAUUCGUUAAAGUAUGUCCAUAUUCUUCAUAUGUAAAGUACAACUCUUAGGGGUCAGUGUUUAAUUUCUGCCUAAGAAUCAUAGAUGUAAGACCUACUGAGUCAGCUAACCUGGGCCCAUGGGGUUACAGAGACCCCAACCACCAACCACGGCAUGUACAGGGACUGGGCCUAGACCCCUACACACUUGUAGUAAAUGUGCAGCUUGGUAUUCCUGUGAGUCCCCUAACAGGUGGGGCAGGGGCUGUCUCGGUCUCUGUUCUCUGCCUUUGGAUCCCCUUCCCUGGUGUGAAUUGCCUGGUUGGGCCUCAGUGAGAGGGGAUGUGCCUACUCAUGCUGGGACUAGAUGUCCUGUGGUGGUGGUAGACAAGAUGGGCUUCCUUUCUCUGAGGAGAAUGGGAGGUGGCAAUGGGAAGAGAUAUUUAUAAGGGUGGGACUGGGAAGAGAGAAGGGGGGUCUAGAUCAGGAGGCAAGUAAAUAAAAACAUAAAUUAUUGAAAAAAAUCACACAUGGUUAUGUAUUUCCACAGAAUUAUCUUUCUGUCAUCAGGGCUUCUUGAUGCAGGAGUACUUAGCAAUAUGGCUGCUGCUCUCACCAUGAUGUCCCUUCAUGCUGCUGGCUUCUCUUCUACACUCUGGACUCACAUUUGGAGUGUGGGUAAACACUGCUUCCUUAAAGUACCUACGAGAUGCCUCCUAGCUUCCAAGAUGUGAAAAGCGUGUAGCAUCACAUCCACAUCACAGGAUAAGCCUGUGUGAUAAGCCAUCCGCUCAGAGAAGAGGACGGGGAUAGGGGAAAGAUUGUGGGAGCAGGUGACUGGGAGGGGGGCAGUGUGCAGGAUGUAAAGUGAAUAAGUAAAGAAUAAAAUUAAAUUAAAAAAAUAAAAUGAAGGGAAUGGGAGGAUUCAUAUGUUAAAAACAAAAACAGUCCAGGGAAACAUGUAUCUUCAAGACUUACACUCAGAAGCACUUCUCUAGUUUAAGGCAGAAUGAAUUAACCAAUGGGAAGGACAGAUCUAUCUUUCUGUUCUCGGUGGCUCACAACAGCCCUCACAUGUUCUUUCUUCUUUAUCUUAACCCCUCCCAUUCCGUUCUCCAGCCACUGGCUGGGAUCGUCUUUCUAAAAUAUAUCUUUCACCUCCUUUUAUAUCCGUCAGAGACACCUGCAGUAUCCGGGGUAACCUGUACAUGCAUCAGGCACAUAAGUUAAAUGCGAGCGUGGUCUGUGGGAAAGGAUGGGGAAUGUGUGUGUGUGUGUUGGGGUGGUGGAAGAGAGAAUAAUGACCCUCCCCAAAUGUUCAUGUCUUAGUCCUUGCAGCUUGGGCAAGGGGAUGACGCAGAUGUGACUGGGGGUUAUCUACAUGAACCUCAUACACUCACAAGGAUCCUUAAAGGAAGUAAGGGGAGAGGGAAACAGAAAGGGAGACAGACAGACAGACAUACAGAGUGAGAGGCAGACAAACAGACAGAGUGAGAGGCAGACAGACAGACACAGAGGGAGCAAGAGACAGGCAGACAGACACAGAGAGAGCAAGAGACAGACAGACACAGAGAGAGCAAGAGACAGACAGACACACAGAGAGUGAGAGACAGACACACAGAGAGGCAGACAGUCACAGAAAGAGAGCGGGAGACAGACAGACAGACACACAGAGAGAGCGAGAGACAGACAGACACAGAGGGAGCAAGAGACAGGCAGACAGACACAGAGAGAGCAAGAGACAGACAGACAGACACAGAGAGAGCAAGAGACAGACAGACACACAGAGAGUGAGAGACAGACACACAGAGUGAGAGGCAGACAGUCACAGAAAGAGAGCGGGAGACAGACAGACAGACAGACAGAGACAGUCGAUGACCGAAACAGGCAAUAGAGACAGAAAGUGGGACAGAUUUGAAUUGGAAGACGAUGCAUCGUACAUGAACUUUGAAGAUGGAGGAAGAGGCGAUGAACCAAGGGGUGUAGAUGGCUUCUAGAAGUUGGGAAAGGCAAAGGAAUAGAUGAGAUUCGGCCCCUAAAACUUGUGGAAAGAGGCAGAGCCACCAGAACCUUGAUUUGAGGACUGCAGACUUCUUCAAUAAGGUAUUUACACCCCCUGACUUUCUGAGAUUGUGCCUUACUGUGCGGCCCAGGGCGACCUCAAUUGACAAGUCUGCUGCUUCUGCAUCCCAGUGCUAGAUCACGGAUAUGUGACACCAUGUCUGGCUUUAGAUUUUCUAUCCCGUCUAUGCCAUUAAGUGUGCAGUCAUUUGUAACAACAGCAAUAGCAUGUGUGAGAUGAAGGUUUCGCUGUGCCCUUUAUCUUGCGGGGAUGAACGUGCAUCAGUUUAAGACAGGUGAUAGAUAUGUCUACUUCUGAUCCUGUCUCACGUACAAAUAACUCGCAGCCUUUACCGAGGAGAGAAAAACCACAGCCAGGUCAUUUGAAAAGUUCAUUUAUUAUAUACCAAUAUACAUUCUGUAAUAAAAAAAAUCCUCCCAGUACAUCAAACCAUCUUAUAAAGGCUGUAAGAAAAUAAAAUUUGUAUCUGUUUACAAAUGGGUUAAAUUUACCAAAAAAAAAAAAAUGUACUCCGCGUAUCUGCCCUGCAGCUUGUGUGAGCUCCGAUCCUGAAGACGGCCACGCGAGUGAGUGGAGCUGCGUGUAGUCUUUGGCACUGCUGUAUUACUCUUGAGUCUGACUACACAAGAGGAUGCUUCCCAGUUAGUCAUUCUAAAUGUAAAAUAUUUGAAAUAUAUACAGAUUGUACAGGCUCCCAAAAUUUUUGGAUUAAUCUUUUCUAUUUACAUUUAAUAUGUUCAGAUGAAACACAUCUAAUAUUUGCAAUGCACCCUUUCCGCUUUCUAAUCUUGGUUUAUUUCUUGGGUGAAUGAAAAACGGAAAGACAUCUCACAGAUCCUAUUUGGCGAUUUUUUUUUCUCUCGGAUGAUAAUAACUCAGAAUUUGUGAUAGUUUCUAGUAAUGCUCGGUUUUUGUCCCAAAGCACACCAUUUUAUAGUACUAAACUCCAGAAAAUGACACGUAAACAAACAUGUUUCUGAGACCCACUGCAGAAAAGCUGUUUCAGUGUGACAGUAUUAUCACUACCUGGAUGAUUCGUGCAUUUCAGACCUGGCUUCGUAUUGAAAUGUAAAAUAAACGACCAGUGAUUGAAAAACAACGGUCAAAGCCAGAGAUUCUGGGCAGUGAGGGGAAACUGAACUCCACCCCAUGUAAGCAUCUAUGGCUGUGAAC